GGGGAGGGCGGCGGAGGCUGGGCUUUGUUGGUGGAGGAGGACGGCGAAGGGGGGAGGGUCUGCUGGUCGGGGAGGACGGCGGAGAGGGGGCUCUGCUGGUGGGGGAAGGCGGCGGCCCGAAUCGACGAGAUCAAUCUGGCCAGCCUCGCCGUGGGAUGACGAGUCCCUUGGUUAUGGGAUGGAUGCGGAGACUGCAAGGAUGAUUGAGGUGGUGGCGCCACUGGUGUUUAGGCGCCGGAGAAGGAGGAUGAUGAGGUUUUGAGUUGCUUGAAUGAGAUUAGGGAAGGUGAUGUUAAGGCGGUGGAGAAGAAGACGAAGGGGGAGUUUGAGUAUUGGGGGGGGCGGCGGUGACGGUGACGAAGGGGGAGUGGCUGUGUUUGUGUGUGUACAUGUGUGUCUGUGAGAGAGAGAGAGAGAAGUGUGUGUAUGUGUGAUUUGGCAAUUCCGGCAGCCACGUUGGCAAUUCCGGCAGCCACCUCAGAUUAAUUUAGGCGAAAUUAUAAAUGAUGGGACAAUUACUAACUAAUUAUAAAUUCAUGUAUUUUCUGGCCAAAAAAAAAAGUGAUGAUAUAAACUAGAAAAUUGGCAAACUUAAUGUAUUUUAUGGCAAUAACC
rnacentral:lncRNA from 1 species